UACGUAGGGGGCAAGCGUUGUCCGGAAUCAUUGGGCGUAAAGAGCGUGUAGGCGGCCCGGUAAGUCCGCUGUGAAAGUCCAGGGCUCAACCCUGGGAUGCCGGUGGAUACUGUCGGGCUCGAGUCCGGAAGAGGAGUGUGGAAUUCCUGGUGUAGCGGUGAAAUGCGCAGAUAUCAGGAGGAACACCAAUGGCGAAGGCAGCACUCUGGGACGUGACUGACGGCUGAGACGCGAAAGCGUGGGAGCGAACAGG
rnacentral:rRNA from 1 species